GCCUGUGUAGUGCAAACAGCUAAGCACUUGGCUAGUAACCAAAAUGUUGGCAGUUCAAAUCCACUCAGAGGCA
rnacentral:tRNA from 1 species